rnacentral:rRNA from 1 species
CAGCAGCCGCGGUAAUACAGAGGGUGCGAGCGUUAAUCGGAUUUACUGGGCGUAAAGCGUGCGUAGGCGGCUUCUUAAGUCGGAUGUGAAAUCCCUGAGCUUAACUUAGGAAUUGCAUUCGAUACUGGGAAGCUAGAGUAUGGGAGAGGAUGGUAGAAUUCCAGGUGUAACGGUGAAAUGCGUAGAGAUCUGGAGGAAUACCGAUGGCGAAGGCAGCCAUCUGGCCUAAUACUGACGCUGAGGUACGAAAGCAUGGGGAGCAAACAGGAUUAGAUACCCGGGUAGUCCCUGUCUCUUAUAC